GAAAGAGGUGAAGCCAGGCAAUGACCAGGGAGCAGAGGAAAUGGCCUCAACUGCUCUGAAUAAAAGCGCUGGGAAGAGAGUGGUCAAAGGAGGUGAUGGCUAAAGGAACUUGCUUUCUAAGCUUCACUGUGAAGAUAAUCCACUCCACUGUUGGCCAGUCACUCAGACUGGAAUGGAAAAGCCAGUCUGUGCUCCCUCCUGUCCAUGUUGCCCUGAGGACAUCUGGAUUUAACUCUCCUGUUCUCUUGCCCAGAAGUACAGAACAGAUGAGUCUGCAGCUGUAUGAAGGUGGCAGUGAGGGAACCCUAAUCAGUGGGUCUGGUUACGCAAAGAGUGGCAAGUUACCUAAGCUGGAAAAAAACCCCACCUGUCUCUUUUCUCCCUGCUACACUUUAAUGAGAGUCAGCACGGGGGAGUGCUGCUCAAGAAUCAUCCCCAUUGGCCUCGGGAGCCACGAAUCUAAGAAAACUACCACGAGUAUCUCAACCAAUAGGUCACUAAAUUGGGAAAUGAAAUGAAACUGGAAAGCCUGUAGAAGUAAACCACCAGGAAAAACUUCUAAAGGACUGAUAUUAUCAGAGAACUGAAGAACAAAUAUGGAAAAAAUAUGUCUGUGUUUCCUACUUAUCUGAGCAAAAGUGUGACUGUGACCUACGCAAGUUGUGGAAAGGACAAGGUCUGUUUGUCUAGACCCCAACCACAACAUGGACACUUUCUUCAGGGCUCCUGAGGGGACACUUGAGCCUGUCCACAGCAAGUCAGUCUGGGAGCUUUCAUUUACAGAUGCCAGAAUGCCAGCAGUAUGGGAGGGUUUUCCAGCUGCACUCUGCAAUUGGUUUGAAAUCUCUCCCGUCACUACGCAUAGACCACGGUAACUGUGUGUGUGCAUGAACAUUAGCUUUGUUGGGGCACAAUCUCCCCACCAAGGAGUCUCCCCUCAAAAAUGCCUAACUGUUCUAAGGUAAAUUCAAGGUGAACCCACAACCCUUCUUGAAUGUGAGAGCAGAAACUAUCCCCAAAAUGCUGAUCACAGGUGUCAAGGACAUCUCAGAAAGAAUAACACACAUUUUAUUAUUUGUUUUGAUCUCUCAGGGGUCUUUGCAAAACAAUUUAAUGAAAACAUUAUUUGGGAUGUUUGCACUGGAUUUGGAGGUGAUACAGAGUCCUUCUCUACAUUGCUGUCAGCGGAGUAAAAAGCUGUGAUGGAAUUCAUAGUAGACUUGAACCAGCUGAUGUCAACUGCCCUACCUCCACUGACUUCCACACAGUUAAGCGGUUGACCCUCAGUAAAAAUCUGCCCCAGUAAUUCUGGUCCUUCCCCAGAUCUGUCUCUUAUUAGCAAAUGAGUUUCAUGAAGUACCUUCAUCCAUCUUGUGCCCCUGUUCCUGUCUUAUAUUUUCCAGAGUAAGACAUCCUUCACUAGAAUACAUUUCACUAGCUAAAUUCCCCUAAGGUUUAUAAAUAAUAAGUUGCAUAAGCACAGCAUCUUAUUUGCUGUAUCUGCUUCAUUUAGCUCCAUAUGAGUUGUAUUUCCCUGCAUGGAAACAGCAGGAAGUAGCCUGCAAGUACCUAACAAUACUCAGGACAGUACAAAAGAUGGUACAGAGUAAUGAACUCAGCACAGCUCAAACAUCCAGUGAAGCUGUGACAAAAGCCUCUCACAGACCACAACUUAGAGAUCCAACCUCCAAAUUACCUCUCGGUGCAAGAGUCUUGACUCUCCC
rnacentral:lncRNA from 13 species